GUCAGGGAGAGAAAAUGGAAAGGGCCAGAGAUGCUGCUGGAUUUAGAAAAUAGAAAUUCAGCGCUGCGUUCACAGUGACAGAGGGAGAAAGGAGAGAGUGGGCAGAGAGAGUAUUUCCAGGGGGAGAUGGAGAUGAUAACACGGAUGUAACAGUGCAACCGCAGCAAAUACACAUGCAUUCUUACUGUAUAAUCAUCCAUAAUACAGUAUCUGCAUGCUACAUGAGUAUUGCAGUGUUUCUUUAUCUGAUGUGCAGCCUAUUUUAGCACACAGCUGACUCUAGUGUUUUUACAUUACAUUACAGUACAGCUGUAAGGUAGUGAUAUGUUUUGUGUUAUUUUGGCUCUGUAUUCCAGCAGCUUUAGAAGCAGCAGUGACUCUGUUGUUAAAAUGCUGGUUUUCACCUUUAAUUUGAGGGUGUUUACGUCCAUAAUGGGUGUAAACAUCUGGCCCCUUUUUACACACAGGAUAAUGAUCCUAAACAGAGACAAAGCAGCCAAUCUGUUUUUAUGGCCACAGACGAAGAUGCCUGACUUGCUAGGUUAGUCACGUGACUAAAGGAUGUGUGUCUAAUUAAGGAGCAGAGGUGGAAUACACCGGGGAUAAAAUCAAGUGUGUGUUGAUGCCUGUUAGCCGAAGCCUUCGCAGAGAAUUGACACCAGUUUAUAACAACCUCAGCCAUCGGUUCUAUCAGUUAAGUUAAUUAUAAUGAACUCACAAAAACACAGCAACAUUACUACAACCUAAGGGUUUGGUCAGAUGACCUUAACCACUUUAUUUGAAGGUAAAAAUGAAAGCGAGUGCACCUGAAACAUUGAUCGAUCCCUUCACUGAAAACUCUGUCUUUAGGCCAAAGUUGAGCCAGGAGGUCUGUGAUGGCCGUUUAAAACAGACAGUGUUAGCUUUCUUCCAGAUAAGAUCAGCCGAACUUUUGGCCUGUUUACAACCUGUGUGAAUGGCUGACUGCUUGUGUUUCUCACCUUAUAGGACCCUGACCCUGAUCUUGUUCAGUGUCAGAAAUGAUGCUGUAAGCUUGGAUCACUGCUGAAAACUUUGGCUACAAAUCCCCCGAGUCUGGAUGAGAACACCUUCAAAUUAAAGCUGAAGGAUGGAAAAGAGACACCAUUGUGCGUCGCUUGGCAAACAAGAAAAGGAGAAACAAGAUGUGUCCAACCUGUCUGAUUUCCUGCUUGUGUUUCUUCCCACAUUGAACUUCUCCUCUGCUGAUUGAUUUUGGUGAGUACAACAUUUUCAUAACCAGUGGCUAAAACUACAAAACUAAGUUUGGAUAAACCUUUGAGGCUGAACUAAAAAGGCACAAAAGAGACAUGAAGGGAGGCAGCGUACCAGUC